rnacentral:rRNA from 1 species
UGACGGUACCAGUAGAAGAAGCCCCGGCUAACUACGUGCCAGCAGCCGCGGUAAGACGUAGGGGGCCAGCGUUGUUCGGAAUUACUGGGUGUAAAGGGUUCGUAGGCGGUGUGGCAAGUCGGGAGUGAAAUCUAUGGGCUUAACUCAUAGACUGCUUCCGAAACUGCUGUGCUCGAGUGUGGGAGAGGCGCGUGGAAUUGCAGGUGUAGCGGUGAAAUGCGUAGAUAUCUGCAGGAACACCCGUGGCGAAAGCGGCGCGCUGGACCACUACUGACGCUGAGGAACGAAAGCUAGGGGAGCAAACAGGAUUAGAUACCCUGGUAGUCCUAGCCCUAAACGAUCAGGACUUGGGGUGCCGCACGUUCGUGCGUCGUCCCGGAGCUAACGCGUUAAGUCCUGCACCUGGGGAGUACGGUCGCAAGACUGAAACUCAAAGGAAUUGACGGGGGCCCGCACAAGCGGUGGAACAUGUGGUUCAAUUCGACGCUACGCGAGGAACCUUACCUGGGCUCGAAGCGCACCUGACCAGCUGUAGAAAUACGGCCUUCCCGCAAGGGACAGGUGUGGAAGCGCUGCAUGGCUGUCGUCAGCUCGUGCCGUGAGGUGUUGGGUUAAGUCC